UUCCCAAUCGAUGAAUUUAUCUAUGAUAUUGAUUUGAAUAGCUUAACAGCGAGAGAAUCGAAAAAAUUUAAAAAUUUUGUCGAUCCUUUUCUGUUGGUUAAGGACGAGAUUGU
rnacentral:ribozyme from 1 species